UACGGAGGGUGCAAGCGUUGUUCGGAAUUAUUGGGCGUAAAGAGCGUGUAGGCGGUCCGGUAAGUCAGAUGUGAAAGCCCUGGGCUCAACCCAGGAAGUGCAUUUGAAACUACCAGACUUGAGUACGGGAGAGGAGGGGGGAAUUCCCGGUGUAGAGGUGAAAUUCGUAGAUAUCGGGAGGAAUACCAGUGGCGAAGGCGCCCCUCUGGACCGAUACUGACGCUGAGACGCGAAAGCGUGGGGAGCAAACAGG
rnacentral:rRNA from 1 species